AUCCAGCUGACGAGUCCAAAAUAGGAUGAAACACGCGUUCUGAAU
rfam:Schistosoma margrebowiei strain Zambia genome assembly, scaffold: SMRZ_contig0001180